AAGCAAAAUGGGGGAUUGGGCUAAAAAACAACUUUUGGAAUUUUUGUGACCUGUCACAAAUGACAAUCAAUUUUGCAAAACAAAACAAUGUGUUUUGGAUUUUAAGAGCCAAAAACACUUUUAAUGAAAAGAGUAUAUACAAGUUCACUUCAUUGAAUAAAAAGUAAGUCAAAUUGCAGUGAAGGAGGUGCAACAAUAAUUGAUUAUUCUAUAGUCUAUGUUUCAUUUUAAAUACUACCAAUAACAUACCAUAAUCCAGCAAGCAAUUUCUCUGAACAAAUUUUGGAGGACAAAGCAAACAAGCCGCUGAUUUGCAGGCAAGUUUUUUGUAUAUUAUAUUUCUCUUAACAAAAUAAUAUCAUUGUUUUAAGCGAUAGAUACUGCCCAUUGUGUUUGUAUGUACAUCGUUGACGGUGGAGGUGUCGUCAUCUCUACCAAUAGUCAAAUGCAUAGUCGUAUGCAACAAAACCAGCAGCAACAACACCACCAAGUCAAGGAUACCAUUCAAUAGUCGACCGCUAACGCUCUCCUCCCAGCAGCUCAGUGUUGGUGUUACCAUGAUUUAACACCAGUAACAGAAACUGCCAACUCGACAUGCCAAGAAAUAUUAUGCAAGCCGCAACAGGGCGCGGAAUGUAACUACCUUGUUGCCAUUGAAGGAUGACAGGGAUACUUAGCUGGCUGACACAGAUGAGGUAGCUGAACAGAAUGAAGCAACCUGCUGAGAUAAAUCACCUCCUAAAUGAAGGGAUUCGGAAAUCAUUGAAUUAUCUGCAGUUUUGGUAAACUUAGAAGAAUUCCCUGAAUUCGUUAUGCAUAUUGCAAAGCCACAUUUUUUCAAUCUAUGGAUCGACUUGAGAGCCCUCUUCUGGAAGUGGUACAAUUAUAAUCUGAUCCAUUUCAUUGUGCGUUCGUUAACCAGAAGGUUCAUGAUGGCGAGACUACUUCAAACAACCAAACAAAACGAAGUGGUAUUGCAACAAGUCAUACAAUUUGAUCCGACGACAUGCUUAGAAUCUCAUUAAUUGAUAAUUUCCUAAAUAAUAUCAUUUUCGUUGUUGUUCCUUUCAAUGGAUAUUCUUUUGUUUUUAAAUUAUUUCAUGAAUUUAGGUAGCCGCAAAAAGCCUUAUAAUGUAUUAUAAGGUUGGGUGCCGAAUAGAAUUUAAAACAUAUUUUUAUUAAUUCCACUUUAUUUUAAGAACAAUAGAUAUAUUUCUCUAUGACUUAUAUGGAGUGUCUUUGUUGUAUUUCAUUACACCAUUUUAGUGGUGAAUA